GCCAAGGGAAAGCAGCUGAAUCCUUCUCCCAGCCAGGGGGAGAGUCACCUCUCUGUGAUGCUUUGAGGGUAUUUAGUUGGAGGGUUUAGGCAGGGUUGGGCUUUUCCCUCGACCAGACCUGCACAACAAGCAGCCCGGGGGCUGCAUGCGGCCCACAUGGGCUCACUACGCGGCCCGCGGAGGGUUCACCCCGCAUCCUGCCCAUUAACAUCCCUGAGGAUAGGGAAGGGGAAUGAAAAGGAUGGAAAAAUUAGGUGAGAUCCUAAAGAGAAACCCACCAGGAAUAUGCAGGAAGUCAAGUUACUGGGCCUGAUUCUCCCAUCAAACUGCGUCAUCAGUGACACCAGUGCCGAACAAGUGCAAAACACCUCCCAUUCUGAGUCAGAAACAUUUUACACCCCACUUUGCCCUGGCGUAAACACCUGCAUGAGGUUCAGGAAGAAUCAGACUCAUCAUUGUCUUUUUACAGCCAAGAAGGAUCAUUCUGAUCCCCCCCCCAGUCUGACC